UACGUAGGUGGCAAGCGUUGUCCGGAAUUAUUGGGCGUAAAGCGCGCGCAGGCGGUUCUUUAAGUCUGAUGUGAAAGCCCACGGCUCAACCGUGGAGGGUCAUUGGAAACUGGAGAACUUGAGUACAGAAGAGGAAAGCGGAAUUCCACGUGUAGCGGUGAAAUGCGUAGAGAUGUGGAGGAACACCAGUGGCGAAGGCGAGUCCCUGGACAACUCCUGACACUGAGGCACGAAAGCUAGGGGAGCAAACAGG
rnacentral:rRNA from 1 species